rnacentral:tRNA from 1 species
GCCGGAGUGGCGGAAUGGCAGACGCGAUGGAUUCAAAAUCCAUUGGGGUAAUACCCGUGUGGGUUCGACUCCCACCUUCGGUACCA